rnacentral:rRNA from 1 species
UAGGGAAUCUUCGGCAAUGGACGGAAGUCUGACCGAGCAACGCCGCGUGAGUGAAGAAGGUUUUCGGAUCGUAAAGCUCUGUUGUAAGAGAAGAACGAGUGUGAGAGUGGAAAGUUCACACUGUGACGGUAUCUUACCAGAAAGGGACGGCUAACUACGUGCCAGCAGCCGCGGUAAUACAUAGGUCCCGAGCGUUGUCCGGAUUUAUUGGGCGUAAAGCGAGCGCAGGCGGUUAGAUAAGUCUGAAGUUAAAGGCUGUGGCUUAACCAUAGUACGCUUUGGAAACUGUUUAACUUGAGUGCAAGAGGGGAGAGUGGAAUUCCAUGUGUAGCGGUGAAAUGCGUAGAUAUAUGGAGGAACACCGGUGGCGAAAGCGGCUCUCUGGCUUGUAACUGACGCUGAGGCUCGAAAGCGUGGGGAGCAAACAGGAUUAGAUACCCUGGUAGUCCACGCCGUAAACGAUGAGUGCUAGGUGUUAGACCCUUUCCGGGGUUUAGUGCCGCAGCUAACGCAUUAAGCACUCCGCCUGGGGAGUACGACCGCAAGGUUG